rnacentral:rRNA from 1 species
GGUUAAGCGACUAAGCGUACACGGUGGAUGCCCUGGCAGUCAGAGGCGAUGAAGGGCGUGCUAAUCUGCGAUAAGCGCCGGUAAGGUGAUAUGAACCGUUAUAACCGGCGAUWYCCGAAUGGGGAAACCCAGUGUGACUCGUCACACUAUCAUUAACUGAAUCCAUAGGUUAAUGAGGCGAACCGGGGGAACUGAAACAUCUAAGUACCCCGAGGAAAAGAAAUCAACCGAGAUUCCCCCAGUAGCGGCGAGCGAACGGGGAGGAGCCCAGAGCCUGAAUCAGCAUAUGUGUUAGUGGAAGCGUCUGGAAAGGCGCGCGAUACAGGGUGACAGCCCCGUACACAAAAGCGCAUGUGCUGUGAGCUCGAUGAGUAGGGCGGGACACGUGGUAUCCUGUCUGAAUAUGGGGGGACCAUCCUCCAAGGCUAAAUACUCCUGACUGACCGAUAGUGAACCAGUACCGUGAGGGAAAGGCGAAAAGAACCCCGGCGAGGGGAGUGAAAAAGAACCUGAAACCGUGUACGUACAAGCAGUGG